rnacentral:lncRNA from 1 species
GUACCAAAUUACAUAUAUAUCUGUCAAAAUGAUGUAGGACCUAAAGUCUCUCUGUAAGUUGAUCCUCUUGACCCCAUGAUUAGGAGCUUCACAAUGUGAUACCACACCUGGAAACCUCCAGAACAAGAUCUCAAGGAAACACAGGAAAUUCCUGAAACAGCAAAACCCCCUAUGUGAAGACGCCUGUUAUUCCUUUGUGCAUCAGGAGCAUCACUGUUAAUUAACUGUUGAUACACUUAAAAGAGCUUGGUUGGCAAUGUCCUUUUUGAAAAAAGAAGAGCCAGGUAUGUUAUUCAGGAUGAACUAGACAAUGCUGUCACAAGUUUACCUCUACGUCUUAUUGCCUUGGAAAAAUUGCCUGCAUAUUGUGGCACAAGAUGGUUGGCUCUCCAGGCAGCAGUUGGCAUUGUGAAUCAGUCUUCUCAGCAUGUAUCUCCAAGAUCCCACAGCAGGGGAAAAAAGAGGUGGAGGGUCACAUGCCUGGUGUUACAUACUUCAAGGCAGAGGUGGUAGGUGCCAUUUCUGCUCACAGCUCAUGGACCAGAACAAAGCCAUGCAUACCUGCGAGAGGACCAGAAAAUAUUCUGAAGCACAUGGCUAUUUGGAAAAGAAGAGAUGGAAGGAAGCUGUUGCUUCAUUUUCUGUUCAUAGCAGGGAAGAGAGAAUAUCAGAGUUUGAUGGGAGCAGGCACAGCCAGAAGAAGAAGCAGAAAAAUUAAUUCAGCAUUUUGA